GUGGGGAAUAUUGGACAAUGGGCGCAAGCCUGAUCCAGCCAUGCCGCGUGAGUGAUGAAGGCCUUAGGGUUGUAAAGCUCUUUCAGUAGGGAAGAUAAUGACGGUACCUACAGAAGAAGCCCCGGCUAACUUCGUGCCAGCAGCCGCGGUAAUACGAAGGGGGCUAGCGUUGUUCGGAUUUACUGGGCGUAAAGCGCACGUAGGCGGAUUGGUCAGUUAGAGGUGAAAUCCCGAAGCUCAACUUCGGAACUGCCUUUAAUACUGCCAGUCUCGAGUCCGGAAGAGGUGAGUGGAACUCCUAGUGUAGAGGUGGAAUUCGUAGAUAUUAGGAAGAACACCAGUGGCGAAGGCGGCUCACUGGUCCGGUACUGACGCUGAGGUGCGAAAGCGUGGGGAGCAAACAGGAUUAGAUACCCCAGUGUCC
rnacentral:rRNA from 1 species